rnacentral:rRNA from 1 species
GAACAACUCUCAGCAACGGAUAUCUCGGUUCUUGCAUCGAUGAAGAACGCAGCGAAAUGCGAUAAGUGGUGUGAAUUGCAGGAUCCCGUGAACCAUCGAGUCUUUGAACGCAAGUUGCGCCCAAGGCCAUCAGGCCAAGGGCACGCCUGCCUGGGCAUUGCGA